AGUUCUAUGAAGGGUGCAGAAGCAGAAGAUUGCCCUUUCAAGAACUUUUCGUGACCUUCUCCUAAGAAACUACCACCGGGCCCGGUAAAUGCGUCCGUCUAUCCCCUCAAAGGUUGGAAACCUUCAUUGCCAGCAACUGGAGGAUGCCGUCACGAGAAUACAACGAAGCAAACAGCCAGCCUACAAAGACACAGGUGAAGACAACGAAGAAUCUCAUUGUUCAUGUGGAGGGCCAAGAAAAGUUUUGUAAAGAGAGGCUGUGCUUCCUGAAGUGUCCACAGAUGGAUAUGGAAAAAGGAUGGGGAAUGCACUGGGCCAGUGAGCUUUCCAGGAGCCCUGAAAGGAGGUGGACCAUGGAGAAAGUCAGCCUGUGAUUGUCUCGUGUCCGUUGAAAAGUAAAGACCACAAGAUAAUGACGGAUUAUGGGUGAUCCUCUCCCAGGCUUGGAUGCUCAGUCAGGCUAUGGUGUUUGCCAGAAAUCAGUGAUAUUUCAGAACGUUGGAAGGUGACCCCAACCGGAACUCGUGUAUUUUUUGUCACUUCAAAGCACCUAUGGACAGUCCUUUGCUUUCCAUACAAGACUAAGCUUAGGAAUGUUUGGCUUUCAUUCGAGGUCAGGCUGCCUGCAGAUAUAGACCCUUUCCUCUGCUGCCUUAUUGCCAGGUACAUUAAAUACAGUAUAUGACAAGAGUUUAUUAAUACUGUACUGGGGUCAACAUCCGUACAAGUGCAUACAAUGGCCCCCAUACAGAAAAAGGUUGAAAAGAAAGGCAGUAAGAAAAAGGAUAUGAUUACGGUGGAGGUUAAAAAGGAUAUCAGCAAGAAGUAUGAAUGAGGUACGCAAGUGGCCGAAAUUGCAAGAUUUCAUAAGGAGUCUACGUCUGCAUCUCGUCUGCACAUGAGGAGGAGAAAAAGGCAGAAGACACCCUCACUUCAACUGACAUUAGGGAGAUGUGUCAAAUGUGGGAAACAGUGCAAAAUUUUGUAGAGAAGCACCGCCUGAAUAAAGAUGUAGCAGUGCAAGUGAUGAAUCGGUUUAACGACAAUGCAGCGUCACAGUGCCGCGAAAUCCUCAAAAGGAGGCAAAAGCAAGUGUCGUUGAAUAGGUUCUUGUUAAAGUUGCAUGACAAGAAGAAAAUUCCCUUGAGCCAAUAGAUAGCAGUGAUUCUACGAGUGAUAAUGAAAAUUGUCCCACACGACAACCCUCCUCCCUUGUCACGAAGGCUCACACCAGCCACGAAGGUUUUCAAAGGUAAGUGCAGUUAACUUGUUUAUUUUUCUUUAUAUUUUGUAUUUCCUCUAUUAUUUUGUAUUCUA